CCCUCGACGGAGCUCCGCAGGACUUCCUCUUAAUCAUCACACAAUGCCAAGACGCGUGGACAUGGGCAGCCCUGGACUUUCGUAAAUCAUACAUAAUAAAUGCCAGGACGCGUGGACAUGGGCAGCCUUGGACUUUCAUUAAUCAUCAUAUCAUAUUGAGGGCUAAUGGAUCAUCCAACAUCCAUCCACAUCAACAACAUAGAAUGC
rnacentral:lncRNA from 1 species